rnacentral:rRNA from 1 species
UACGGGGGGUGCAAGCGUUAUCCGGAUUCACUGGGUUUAAAGGGUGCGUAGGUGGGUUGGUAAGUCAGUGGUGAAAUCUCCGAGCUUAACUUGGAAACUGCCAUUGAUACUAUCAGUCUUGAAUAUUGUGGAGGUCAGCGGAAUAUGUCAUGUAGCGGUGAAAUGCUUAGAUAUGACAUAGAACACCAAUUGCGAGGCAGCUGGCUACACAUAUAUUGACACUGAGGCACGAAAGCGUGGGGAUCAAACAGG